rnacentral:rRNA from 1 species
AAGGUAGCAUAAUCAUUUGUUCUUUAAUUGGGGGCUGGCAUGAAAGGUUUAACUGAAGAUAGAUAUCUUUUUUAUAAAGGAGUAAUUUGUAUUUUGAGUUAAAAUACUUAAUUAAACUUAAGGGACGAUAAGACCCUAAAAGCUUUAUUUUAAGUGAGUGUGUUUUGCUAAUUUUUUAAGUAAUUUAGCUGGGGUAGCUGUUUUAAUUAAACUAAGGUGGUUAAGAGGCUCUUUGAGAGGUUAAGGGUCCUUUAUAUAAGGAUAUGUAGAGUCAGUUACUUUAGGGAUAACAGCGUGAUAGUUUUGGUGAGAUCUUAUCUAUAGGGCUGAUUGCGACCUCGAUGUUGAAUUAUAAGUUCUUUGCAGUGCAGCAGCUGUGAGAGAAGGUUUGUUCAACCUUUAAAUUUUUACGUGAUCU